rnacentral:rRNA from 1 species
CCUACGGGUGGCAGCAGUGAGGAAUAUUGGUCAAUGGACGAGAGUCUGAACCAGCCAAGUAGCGUGAAGGAUGACUGCCCUAUGGGUUGUAAACUUCUUUUAUAUGGGAAUAAAAUGUUCCACGUGUGGGAUUUUGUAUGUACCAUAUGAAUAAGGAUCGGCUAACUCCGUGCCAGCAGCAGCGGUAAUACGGAGGAUCCGAGCGUUAUCCGGAUUUAUUGGGUUUAAAGGGAGCGUAGGUGGAGUGUUAAGUCAGUUGUGAAAGUUUGCGGCUCAACCGGAAAAUUGCAGUUGAAACUGGCAGUCUUGAGUACAGUAGAGGUGGGCGGAAUUCGUGGUGUAGCGGUGAAAUGCUUAGAUAUCACGAAGAACUCCGAUUGCGAAGGCAGUUCACUGGACUGCAACUGACACUGAGGCUCGAAAGUGUGGGUAUCAAACAGGAUUAGAUACCCCUGUAGUC